ACUUGAAUUUUUUUAAAGAUUUUAUUUUUAAAUAAUCUCUAGACCCAACUUGGGGCUCAAACUCACAACCCCAAGGUCAAGAGUCGCAUGCUCUACUGACUAAGCCAGCCAGGUGCCCCUCUUCUUGAAUUUUAAAAAACCCAUCACUUCAAAGAUAGAAAGCUUUACAGAUAGACUCAUGGGUGUUCCCCAAGGAAAGCUGCAAUAUUUUUUUUUUUCAUUCAAGAUUUUAUUUAAAUUCAAGUUAGUUCACAUACAGUGGAGUAUUAGUUUCAGGAGUAGAGCAAUUCAUCAGUUGCAUAUAAUACCCAGUGCUCAUCACAUCACGUGCCCUCCUUAGUGCCCAUCCCCCAGUUACCGCAUCCCUACACCCCCCUCCCCUCCAGCAAUCCUCAGUUUGUUUCCUGUAAUCAAGAGUCUCUUAUACUUUGCCUCCCUCUCUGCUUUGUCUUAUUUUAUUUUUCCUUCCCUUCCCUAUGUUCAUCUGUUUUGUUUCUUAAAUUCCACAUAUGAGUGAAAUCAUAGGGUAUUUGUCUUUCUCUGAAAGCUCCAAUAUCUUAAAAAAUAAACCAAAGUGGGGUGGGGGGAAUGUGUACGUGUGUAUGUGUGUGUCUGUGUGUGUGUGAAGAGAUGAAACAUACUGUCAUAGAAAACACAAACAACAUAAAAAGCAUGUGGUAAAGACCAUUCUUCCCAUUCCUGCCCCCAGGCUCUCUCUUUCCCUUUCUAAAAGUAACCUAUGUUACCACUCUCUAUGUUUGCUUAUUUAUUUAUUUUUAUCAUUUAUAAGUAGGGUAACAGUCUGAAGUCCAGGCUGUGCAUUUACAAGGAGAGCUUUCCAUAUAAGAAUGCCAACACUUCCUUCUCUCUUUCCUACUGAUGGGGUCAUGGUUUUCUAUUGUAUGAAUGUACCAUGGUUUAGCUCAUCGUUGGUGGAUUUUGAUAUGAUUUCCAGACUUCUACAGUUACCAACAAUUCCAAUGAAUAACCGUGUGCAGAAUGUCAUUUCACAAGUAUCAGUUGACACAUUUUGUUUUUACAAAACCAACAAGAUAACUCAGCCCCCCGGAAAUGACGGAACAGCACCAAGUCAAGGUCAACUACGCUGGCUGAAGAGUAACCCUCCCGUGCAGGACCUGUCACCUGAUGUCACCGCUUUUCAUUUUAGUGUUUCCUCCCUGUUCAUUGGUCAGAUGCAUUCAUGGGAAGCCUCUAGUGCUUCCAGAAGCUUGAUGCUCACAGAGAUUACUUAUCACAAGCAAGAAAGCCCAGGGAAAACCCACAUGUUCCUGAGAAAAAUGAAUGAUUUAGUCACGGUCAAUUUAGAAUUCUGCUCCUGCUCCACAGGAGAGCUGAUGCUUUCCUGAUGUUGUCCUUGUUGUCGCAGAGCUUUUUGGGUAGUGAAGAUGGGAGAAGAUGUGGUAGCUUCGAAACAUGCCUCACAGUUGCUUAAUGGGGGGCAUUUUGUUUGUUUUUCAAGUAAUUCACAAAAAGACAUAAAGGAACUGUGAGAGACUCAGAUCUACUGAAUGUGGUUCCGAACACUGAUUUAAGCCUAAAUCAGUGGUCUGAGGGACAUCCUUAAACAAGCUCAGGAAGUGAUUGUUUAAAAUAUUUAUAUUUAUGUAUCCAUACACUAUGGUGAUAUGUAUGAUGUUUACCCAAAAGUGCAAUCAGAAAAAUUCCUUGCACGGGAGUGGUCGAAGUAUUAUAGAACUAGAAAUUAAUGCAGUUGAGGACUGGUCAGCCUUCAAUGCCAAAGAGCCCUCCCAGCCAUGCCAUACCUAAGACAAGAAGUGUCAUUACAGCUAUAGAUCACUGCAAUGCACCUUUCAAAAAGACGGCUCUUGUAUGCGUGUAAGUUUAUGCAGGAUUCAUCUAACUGAUAAACAUAAAAUAAUGAGAUUGUGCCAUCACGAAGAUAAAAUGUACUGCAGUGAGCAUUUGUCCAAACAAGUCUUAUUAUAAAUGAAACCAAGCAGGUGAGGUUAAGGUUGACCAGUAUGCCCGAGCAAUGUCAUGCUUGUGCAGGUCCACACAUGGGAGCUGAGACUCGGGAAUUCUGUAAGCUGAUUGGUAGAUGAAAACUGAUCAAAACGGGAGUGUUUACACUGUGGGAAUCUGUCAGUGCUGUAAAUCAGGGUAGUUCUCUUCCCCCAAAGACCCUGUUCAACAUUUGCUGACAUACUACUGUAUCUAAGGUCGUUCAGCCAAUUCAAAAUAAAGACAAGUUUUGCCUGGACUAUGUAAGUAUGCACUUUCACCUUUUUGUUUUUAUUGCGCUUUUAAAUUUUUAAAUUGCAUUUAAAUGUUUAAAUCAAACAUUAUUUUCACUUCAGAGAAAUCCUUUAAGGUAAGGCAGGAAUAUUGUUUCUCCCCACCCCAUUUCAGAGAUGAGGACAUUUAGGCACAACGGAGAUGAAAUAUUUUGCCCAAGGACGCACAGCUAGGUAAUGGAAAAACUAAAACAGACGGUUCUGCUCAGGACACGUUGGACCUCUGGCAAAAGAGAAAAACUAUUGAGCAAGGACAGAAAAUCAACAAGGUGCCCCACGCAAUGGUGACCCUAUGACUUUCCUGCCUAAAAUCUGUUAACUGGUUGUGAUGUCGUAGUUUAAAAAAAAAAAAUGCUGUUGAGGUACUUAGUCUGGAUGGGCCAGUGAAGGGUCUUCUCUGUCCCAAGUGGAUCCAAUGAGUUAUUAUGUCAUAGCAAAGAUUGGGACUGGGCUGUGCUUUAUUCUUAUUUAGGGUUAUAAUUUUUAGGGCUAUGUUCAUAAUGAGACCCUAUGGCACCAGAUCAGGAUUCCAGGUUGUUUCCAUUAAGACUCGUUCAAACACAAAAAGUAAAAAAAUAAUAAUAAAUGAAUAAAUAUAUAAAUAAAUAAGACUCGUUCAAAUGCAAUUGCCUAAAUGUAACCCACACAGACUUGAAUAAAACAAGGCCAUGUAACUGUGAAGUCCAGGGGAUAUUCAGGCAAGGGUGGAUCAAGGGAUCCAAACUGAUUUUUAGAUCUCUGUUUUGCACUAUUUUGCACUCUCUAUUUUUUAACUCUUAAGUCUACCCUUGUGGCAUAAAUAUCUCCAGGCUUACAACUUCAAUUUCAAUUUCGGUAGGAUAAAGGGUUAUUUCUUCAUAGUCUCUCUGUAGUAGUUAAGGGAUCCAGCUACAUGGGCUCUGAUUGCAUCAUAUGCCCAUCCCUGACCCAUUUGCUAGGGUAUGAUCUCUGCCCUGGCUUGAGUCAUGUGUUUGCCUCUGGAGUCAAGGCUGGAGUCACCAAAUCAAAUGCAUUGGUGUGGGGGUUGAGGUCACCAAAGAAAAUUAGAAUUCUGUUAUGAGAAGAAAGAAGGAAGAGGAGACUACAUGGUAGGCAGAAAAUGAACAGAUUUCCACUACAUAGGAGCUCGAUAGAUAUGUGUUGAAUUUAUGAAUGUAAGAAUGAACAAAAGAUCAUAGCUACUAAAUCAUCAUCACCUUUUUACCCCUGAUAAUACCAUUUUAAACAAUGCAAGACUAGUCAUUUUUCUUUCUCUUCUUUUCCUGGUGAAACUUAGAAAACACUCCAUCGCUCCAAAACAGAGGACUUUGCAAAUAGACUCAUGGGUGUUUUCCAAAGAAAGCUGCAAUAUCUAAAUAUCUUCCAUCAAGCCCAUAGCAAAAUUAUUCCACCAAAUUACAGUCUUGUGUAAUAGGAGAGCCCACAGGGGAGAUGCCAGAGAGGGAUGCCAGCCUGGAGUGCAGUCACAGAACCAUAGCAGGAUGGUGGUUAGACUGUUUUUGGUUGCUAAUAGUAGUCUCUUAGGGCUGUUUCCAUUUGAGAGUGAUACCGGUUUGAAAGAGAAGAUAAUCUCCUUUCAUCCUGACAGCCCACACUGGAAUGUCCUCGUCACUUGGUUUCCCGACUCACUGCACAAAGAGGGAGAGCUCUGGAAGCCAGCCAGGCCAUAGAAGUAAAAAUCAGUGGUACCAGAGCUGGAAAAUGCCCUCUUGUACCAACGACCUUUUUUUGCCAAGUUGAAGGACUUAAAAAGGUCUUUAAAGAGUCCUUUUGAUCUCUGGUGUCUAUGAUUCCAGAAACCCUGAAUAGAUUCUACGGCACAAAUCCUUCUUUGUGGGAUUUUUUUUCUUUUGGUCCCAUGCCAUACCCAAUUUUUAUUAAGCUGAGGAGAAAGGAUUCACUUCUGGGAAGCGUGUUGUAUUUAGAUCCAGAGGCAAGAGUGGGUGACAUGGGCAUUGUGACCACCAGUGAUCACCAGGGAGCCAACUCAAGAGUCACUUAAGCCUACUCAUCAGAGGACAAUGGUCCAUCCGAUUCUGCUCAGUCUCCAGCAGAGUUACUGCUAUCCCUCCAUGUUACCCCCAUCACAGUGAUGUCCCUGAUGAACCCCCUCAAGUUGUGGUGUGGACAAAGGCAACAGCCGGUGAGCAGUGGACCGCCAGGGCAUUUAAAAAGGACACCGCGCUAUCACUCCAGCAACGAGGGCAGCAAACAAGGGAGACCUCCUCCCAGGUUAGGCAGCAGUGAUCACGUUCAGCCACAGUAACGUGCUACCAGAGAGGCUGAGGCACCUGUGAGGUGGCGGGAGCAGACGAAGUUCUUUGGCCAGAGGGAAUGAAGGACUGAAGGAGUGAAUGACUUCCAUGAAUUGAAGGAUCGGAACAGCCUUGGUCAUGAAAGGGAUAAAUUUGCCCUCGAUUCUCCUUAAGACACUCGGCAAGUUCCUUCCAACAAUGGAAUACACCGACAACAUUGUAGCUCUUCUUUCACUUGGCAUCACCCUCCAAUUAAAGUGAUUAAAGGGAGCUGACAAGAAAUCGGUAGCUUCUACUGGAUAAAUGACGCCCGUCCGCCCGCCCCCCCAACCCCCCACUUAUUCGGGAUUUGGCUUUCCAGAGUUUCAGCUCCAGGUAGUCAAGCCCACCGGAAGCAGACGACCCACCCGACGUGAGUCCGAAGGUCAACGGGAGCCUAACGCUGCGUCAGUGACGUCACAGCGCCUGCGUCCUUCCCUACGUCAUCUUACCAGGCGGGCCUCCUACCCUCUCACACGAUCGCAAGAAGGCUGUCAUAUUUGAGUAACUUCCUGCUGCAUCCUAGCUAACAAUUGUAGCUUCAACUUUGAUCUUCUGAAUUAUUCACUCUGGAUGAAACCAGCUGCUAUGCUGUGAAGACACUCGAGCAGCCCUGUGAAGAGGAACUGAGAUCCCCCAUGAAAAGCCAACAUCAACCAAAUGAACCACCUUGGAAGUAGAUUUGCAACCCCUCUCAAGCCUUCAGAUGACAUCAAUCCCAGUGGACAUCUGACAGCCCCUUCGUGAGAACUGCCCAGCCAAGCCACACCUAAAUUCCUGACCCAUAGAAAUACAUGAGAUAAUAAAUGAUUAUG